rnacentral:rRNA from 1 species
GCGAAGCCGAGGGACGACCCUCGGUGGAGCGCCCGGGAGUGAGAAUGCUGGCAUGAGUAGCGAGAGACGAGAGAGUAACUCGUCCGCCGUGAACCCGAGGUUUCCUGGGCAAGGCUAAUCCUCCCAGGGUCAGUCGGGGGCUAAGGCGAGGCCGGUAGGCGUAGCCGACGCGCAGCAGGCAGACAUUCCUGCACCGCGCACGCGGCGCUACGACCGACGGGGCGACGGAUGGGGGUGGCUCGGCGGGGUUCUGGACGUCCCCGUGAUGGAGCGCGGCCCGCGGACCAGGGAAAUCCGGUCCGCACGAGGGCGAGGCUCCGGACGAAGCACUUAAGCGAAGCGAGUGAGCCCGAGGUCCCUAGAAAAACCCCUAGGCAGGCGCGUGCGCGCCCGUACCGCAAACCGACACAGGUGGGUGGGUAGAACAUACCGAGGCGAUCGGGUCAACCAUGGUCAAGGAACUCGGCACAAUGGCCCCGUAACUUCGGGAGAAGGGGUGCCCGCGCGUACGUGAACGGACUUGCUCCGGGAGCGGAGGCGGGCCGCAGUGGAGAGGCCCAAGCGACUGUUUACCAAAAACACAGGACUCUGCAGAAGCCGCAAGGCGACGUAUAGGGUCUGACGCCUGCCCGGUGCCGGAAGGUCACGGGGAUCCGUUAGCCUUUGGCGAAGCGGUGAACCCAAGCCCCGGUAAACGGCGGCCGUAACUAUAACGGUCCUAAGGUAGCGAAAUUCCUUGUCGGGUAAGUUCCGACCCGCACGAAAGGCGUAAUGAUUUGAGCACUGUCUCGACAAUGCAUCCGGUGAAAUUGAAGUACCAGUGAAGAUGCUGGUUACCCGCGCCAGGACGGAAAGACCCCAUGGAGCUUUACUCCAGUUUGAUACUGGGAUUCGGUACUGCAUGUACAGGAUAGGUGGGAGACGAAGAAGGAUGGACGCCAGUCUGUCCGGAGUCGCUGUUGGGAUACCACCCCUGUAGUACUGGGUUUCUAACCAGUUGCCAUGAACUGGCAAUGGGACAAUGUCAGGCGGGGAGUUUGACUGGGGCGGUCGCCUCCGAAAGGGUAUCGGAGGCGCUCAAAGGUUCCCUCAGAAUGGUUGGAAACCAUUCGAAGAGUGCAAAGGCAGAAGGGAGCUUGACUGCGACACCGACGGGUGGAGCAGGUACGAAAGUAGGACUUAGUGAUCCGGUGGUAUAAAGUGGGAUUGCCAUCGCUCAACGGAUAAAAGCUACCCUGGGGAUAACAGGCUUAUCACUCCCAAGAGUUCACAUCGACGGAGUGGUUUGGCACCUCGAUGUCGGCUCAUCGCAUCCUGGGGCUGUAGCAGGUCCCAAGGGUUGGGCUGUUCGCCCAUUAAAGCGGUACGCGAGCUGGGUUCAGAACGU